rnacentral:rRNA from 1 species
AAAUUGAAGAGUUUGAUCAUGGCUCAGAUUGAACGCUGGCGGCAGGCCUAACACAUGCAAGUCGAACGGUAACAGGAAGCAGCUUGCUGCUUUGCUGACGAGUGGCGGACGGGUGAGUAAUGUCUGGGAAACUGCCUGAUGGAGGGGGAUAACUACUGGAAACGGUGGCUAAUACCGCAUAACGUCGCAAGACCAAAGAGGGGGACCUUCGGGCCUCUUGCCAUCAGAUGUGCCCAGAUGGGAUUAGCUUGUUGGUGAGGUAACGGCUCACCAAGGCGACGAUCCCUAGCUGGUCUGAGAGGAUGACCAGCCACACUGGAACUGAGACACGGUCCAGACUCCUACGGGAGGCAGCAGUGGGGAAUAUUGCACAAUGGGCGCAAGCCUGAUGCAGCCAUGCCGCGUGUAUGAAGAAGGCCUUCGGGUUGUAAAGUACUUUCAGCGGGGAGGAAGGUGUUGUGGUUAAUAACCACAGCAAUUGACGUUACCCGCAGAAGAAGCACCGGCUAACUCCGUGCCAGCAGCCGCGGUAAUACGGAGGGUGCAAGCGUUAAUCGGAAUUACUGGGCGUAAAGCGC